rnacentral:tRNA from 2 species
GUUAGUGUAGCUUAAUAUGGUAAAGCAAGGCACUGAAAGUGCGUAGAUGAGUUCAUGUAACUCCAUAAACA